rnacentral:rRNA from 1 species
ACACGGAGGGCGCAAGCGUUGCUCGGAAUCACUGGGCGUAAAGCGGGUGUAGGCGGUCUAGCAAGUCAGAUGUGAAAGCCCACGGCUCAACCGUGGAAGUGCAUCUGAAACUGCUAGACUUGAGUGCCGGAGAGGGAAGUGGAAUUCCUGGUGUAGGGGUGAAAUCCGUAGAUAUCAGGAGGAACACCGGUGGCGAAGGCGACUUCCUGGACGGCCACUGACGCUGAGAUCCGAAAGCGUGGGGAGCAAACAGGAUUAGAAACCCUAGUAGUCC